rnacentral:lncRNA from 1 species
GUGGGCAAAUAACACAACCCGAUUCGAUAUGAAUAUUUCAUACUCAAAUCAAAUGUGAAUUAAGAGAGUAAUCCGAUCAUAUGAUUUUUUGUCAAUCCGAUCGAAUUGUAUUUGGAUCAGAUCAAACCCAAUCUGAUCCAACAAUUUGAUCGCAUUGAAAGAAAAAAAGAAAUAAAUAGACACACCAGUAGGUCCAGUACACACACAAAGCCCCACGUGGCCACACCCACCACAACCAAAAAAAGACAAAAUCACAUACCCUAACUUCUCCACACUCACAAGUUGAAGCCACCAUCACUGUCGAACUCCAAAACAAAAACUCCAAAUUAGCCAUUCACCACCAGUCACUCCACGCCACUAUCUACUGCAAAACCAAACCGACACACUGCACCACCACCGUCCACCUCUGCUUUGAUCAUGCCAACAACCACCAAGCACAACAGAUCCACGGUCGCAUUAAUUCACUAAGUCAGCAGCCUGCCAGCCUCUGCUUUGAUCGUGCCUCGCCUCACUGCCGUUUGGCACACAUUCUUCAAUAUAUUUUAUUUCAUUUUUUGUUUUUUUUGUUGAAAAAUUCAUGAGAAAAAUGAAGUCUAUUAGCCUUAAAGGCUUGAGGGUGAGUCGAGGUAGUUGAAGGGUUGCUAAAUCCUAAUUGUAUUAUAGUGAAAUUACUUUAUAAAGCUGAAAAGCAAUUGGCUUUGAAUUUAUUUUGUUUAUAAUAAACAUUGGAAACAAAUCCUCCCUACUGCUUGCUUAAAAAUAGAGCGUCCUAGUUUAUGAUCCGAAUUCAACUUGGAGUUUGUGAUCUAAUCUGAUUGAUUAUCAGUUCGGAUUGUAUUCGAAUGAGCUUUUUCUCAACCCGAUUAAUCUAAAAUCCAACAGAUUGAUCCGAACCCGAUCAAUCUCGAAUUUGCCAACACCUAGAUAUAAUAACUUAAAAUAUUAAGUUAAAUACGUCCAUCUAGUCGAGUUUAUAUCAUGCGUACAAUCUUGAACAAAGUAGAAAGAUAAAUAAAACAACAUAUCUGAAUUUGUACACAACCCAAAUAGUAGUCUAAAAAUAAAACUAAAAUACAAAGUAUUGAGUGGGAAAGACCCGCUUGCUGACUUGGAUGUGUUCUUGUGUUUCAUUGAGUGGGAAGAAGAAGGCAAGGUGCUAAAGGGACUUCUACCAAUCUUAAACAAAGGGCUAGAACCCUCGCCAGAUAGGCUAUCCACUACUGUUUCGGAAAGGAAUAAGGAUAGAAAGGAAGGGAGAUGAAAUGCUCAAAGGAAAAGGAAUUCCUUCAGAAGCUCCGCACG